UCCCACUUUUAAGCCCAUAGGCUAUAUCAGAAUUAAACCCUUCUUCUCCUUUCUCCUACUCUCUGCAUUAGGGUUUUUCAUUUUACUCUCUCGGAACAGGGAAAAAGAAAAGGAUGGAGUUUCUAAAGAGAAAAGAAGCAACUUUAUCUUCAUUAAAAACAGACAAAUCACCAAAAGGAACAAUAGACACACCCAUUAUCCCACUUCUCAAUUCUCUCAAUUCCCAUCAUUCUUACUUCACUACCAGUUCUUGCUCGGGUCGAAUCUCAAUUCUCGCCCAACCCAAACCCAUACCAACCCACCUAACACCCAAUAAAAAGAAGGCACGUGGUGGGUCCUGGCUAUUUAUAUCUCAUGAUCCAGCAAAAUCCGACUCCGUUCUCUCUCUCCUUUUCCCUUGUAAGUCAGUGACUGAAUCAUCUGAUUUGGUGUUUCGGUUCGAACCGUUGAUUAUCGCGGUUGAAUGUUUAGACAUUGAAUCUGCACAGUUUUUAGUUUCUCUAGCUAUAUCAUCUGGGUUUAGAGAAUCAGGGAUUACUAGUGCCAAUAAGAAGAGAGUUAUUGUGGGUAUUAGGUGUUCCAUAAGAAUGGAAGUGCCACUUGGUGAUACUGAUGAUGUUCUCGUGUCGCCUGAAUAUGUUAGAUUUCUUGUGGAGAUUGCUAAUGAGAAAAUGGAAGCUAAUAGAAAUAGAACUCAAGGUUUUUUAAGUGCUUUAGUUGAAAAUGGGUUUGUAGGGCCCACCAGGUCGUUUUCGGAGAAUGGUGAUCUUGAUAAUGACGGUGAUGAUGAUAUUCAAGAUGAGGACUUGGUGUUAGAGAGAGCAAAUGGGGGUGCCCAAACUGUCUUUGAAUCCUUGACAGGACGAGUAGGAGUAUCUGGUUUCACUUUAUCUAAUGGUCAAAUGGUAAUUUCUGGUGAACCUUUGGAAAAACUUUUCCUUUGGGGUCACUCUGCUUGCGUAUUGGAUAAUAAUAAGAGCAAGAAUAUUCUUGUAUUUGGUGGUUUUGGAGGCAUGGGAAGACAUGCACGGAGAAAUGAUACUUUGCUGCUUGAUCCCAUAAAUGGCACGUUAAAGACAAUUGAUGCAGUGGGUGCACCAUCUCCACGAUUGGGUCAUACAGCUUCUUUGGUUGGUGACUUAUUAUUUGUUAUUGGAGGCAGGUCUGGUCCCUUGGACAUUCUGGGUGAUGUAUGGAUUCUAAAUACUGCCAGUAAGGAAUGGAGGUUAGCAGAGUGCACUGGCAGUUAUUUCUCUCCUAGGCAUCGGCACGCAGCUGCAGUUGUUGGCUCAAGCAUAUAUGUAUAUGGUGGUCUUGACAAUGAGACAAGUUCUUCAUCCUUGUAUGUUUUGAACACUGAAAGCCUGCAGUGGAAAGAGGUAUUGGUUGGUGGGGAACAGCCAUGUGCCCGUCAUUCUCACUCAAUGGUGGCAUACGGGUCUAAGUUGUUCAUGUUUGGAGGGUACAAUGGAGAGAAAGCUCUGGGAGAUUUAUACAGUUUUGACAUUCAAACACAUAUGUGGAAAAAAGAAAAUACAUCUGGUGGAAGCCCACAUCCAAGAUUCUCCCACUCAUUGUUUGUCUAUAAUCAUUUUCUCGGACUUAUUGGGGGCUGUCCCGUCAGACAAAAUUCCCAAGAGUUGUCAUUACUCAAUCUACAAAACUGUAAAUGGAAUCAUGUGGCAAUUGAUUAUAUCGGCAAGGAAUUGCUUGUACGCAGUACAGCCAAUGUUGUGGGUGAUGAACUUGUGAUGAUUGGCGGUGGGGCAGCUUGCUAUGCCUUUGGAACAAAGUUCAGUGAGCCACUAAAAAUCAGCUUGCUUCCAUUGAUGUCUUUAGAAGACAAAACUAUGCCAUUACAAUUUGGAGAAAAACAUGGGACUGAUCAGUAUAACGGAGUAAGUGGAGAAAAUAAUGAUAACAUUCGAGGUUCCCAAGUUGGAAAUGCUGAACCUGCAACUUAUAAUUAUAGCUUUAAUUUGCAGGCUGAGCAGAGUCAGUUGGCUACUUCGCAUUGGAUACUACAACUUGAAAAGAAGUAUGCAAAAUUAGGGAAGGACAUGCUGAAGAAAUUUCAUUGGUUAGAUCUCACGAGGAAGGUUCAUUCUCAAAAGGAUGGAUUGCAUGUUUGUUUCCCUAUCACUGAAAAAUUCUAUGAAGUGUUCUCCAAAAGGCAGCAUAAGUGUGGAGAUGUAGCUGAAGGGCAGAAUAAAAAUAGAGGUGAAAUGGUUUUAUUAAAUGAGGUCUCAUGCUCAACAACCUUGAAUCUCUUGAAGCACUAUGGUGCCACUCUGCUGGCAGAUGAGAUUGUUGAAGCUAGAAGAACCUCUAAAUCACCAUUGCAGUUGAUGAAAGAAGCGGUAGCCUCUUUGAUCAAACAUAAAGGCCUAUCAACAGAAUUAUUAGAGCAGCUACCAACUAGGUGGGAGCGCCUCGGGAAUAUUGUUGUACUUCCAGUAACAUCGUUCAAGGAUCCAUCUUGGGACUUAAUUGGGGAGGAGCUCUGGCCUGCUAUUGCUAGAUCCCUUAACUCUCAGCGUCUAGCUCGGAAUGGCCGAGUUGCACCAACUGGAACAAGGGAUAGUACUUUAGAGAUGCUGGUGGGAGAUAAUGGCUGGGUUGAUCACCGAGAAAAUGGGAUUCUCUAUUCUUUUGAUGUUACCAAGUGCAUGUUUUCCUGGGGUAAUCUUUCUGAGAAGAUUCGCAUGGCCCAUUUGGACUGUAAAGAUGAGGUUAUAGUGGAUUUAUUUGCUGGAAUUGGAUAUUUUGUACUGCCAUUUCUUGUUAGGGCCAAUGCGAAACUGGUUUAUGCUUGUGAAUGGAAUCCCCAUGCUGUUGAGGCUCUCAAACGCAAUCUUGAAGCAAAUUCUGUUUCUGAUCAGUGUGUUGUACUUGAAGGCGAUAAUCGAUUGAUUGCUCCUAGAGGAGUUGCUGAUCGGGUUUGUCUUGGUCUUCUUCCAUCAAGUGAGGGCAGUUGGGUAACUGCUGUUAGAGCGUUAAGUUGUGGUGCUACUCCAGGAGUGAGGGGGGGGUGCUGCAUGUGCAUGGGAAUGUGAAGGACUCAGAGGAGGGCUCAUGGACUGAACAUGUUAUGAGAUCAAUAGAUGAAAUUGCAAGAUCAGAAGCAGGUCAUUGUUGGGAGGUCUCGAUAGAACAUGUGGAGAGGGUAAAAUGGUAUGCCCCACAUAUACGCCACCUUGUAGCAGACGUUAGGUGCAGACAGAUUCUAAAAGAUAACAGUUGAGACACUGUUUAGUUAAAGGUAGCAGAUUAUGCGUACCCUUGUUAGUGAAAAUAUCAAGGAUGUGGCAGGACCUUGAGGAUGUCUCAUGGUAAGCUCCAUGCUGAUGCACCUUUCUGGUGGCACUUCAUUGCAAAAUGCUGCAGGUAAAACCCACAAUUUCAUUCAAGAAAUGCUAAAGAGACGGAUGGAUGAAAAUCGGAUUGUUGUACCUUCCACAUUGAUGACACAAUUUGAGUUUCUUGCCCGUGUUGGUUUCCGUAGUUGAACUUUACGUGAGGUGUGGUACCCAAAUGCUACUUAAUACCAUCUCCUUAAUGCUUAUAGGACUAGGUUGGUGGAGCACGCAUGCACAUCAUUACCUGCAUUUCUGGAAAUGAUGUGCGAGUGAUGGCCAUUGGUCAGUUGAGCUUGGAUUAGAGUUGAGCAGUUAAGAUAAUGCAUGAAGGUGCUGUUAUAAGAACCAAGGUACCUAUCUAUAUAUUUUGGUUCCAUUAUAAAUCACUGCUUAAGAGUUUCGGUUUAUAAAAUAACAAGUACCCUUUUGAAAUCA